UGUGUAUAUAAUGAAGGGAAAUAUACUGAGUGAAGAAAAAGGCAUGUUGCAACUGCAAUUUUUUCUCUAAGGUUUAAUCUCAGGAAUAAUGGUUCAAUACAUCGUCAUAGUUAAAAAAUAAAAAAAAUAAACUGAUGUAGAGAGCAUUUACAAACAGCUAAAAGGUGCGGAGUAGUUGUUCGUUUAAAACCAUCUGAGGCUGGAGUCUGAAGGGCAAUCUUUAAACAGCGAUAGUGAAAUGUUUUUGCUUCUAAAUGCAUUUAUUUUUAUAAAUAGUUUUAUUUGGUAAGUAAAUUUAUAAAAUGAUAAUUCUUUGCAGCCCAGGAAUCUUUUUUUUUUUUUGGAGGGGGGCGCUUACGACCACCUGACCUGUUUUUCUCCUGCAGUGUCAGUACUCUGUCCUGCAGGGGGCGCUGCUGUCACAUUUCACUCACCUACACCACCGAAGCAAUGUGAUCAGUAAUGGCCUCUUUCUGUUAACACCAAAAGCUCGUUUAGCUUUAACGGUUCCCAUUUUUUCUACCGAAACGUCAUUAAUGUUGGAGUUUCACUGUUCUUGGUCCGAGUGGCUCUUAGCUUAAAAAUGAAAAAUCUUUCCACGAUGUAAAAGAAGAAGCUCUCGUUUUCCACGGCAAUAACACUUGGAGAGACUGCAGAAUGAAUCAACGUGAGUGGAAAGAUGCUGUCCACAGACUCCAGAGACUUCUGGAGCCAAGCCGCCACAGCAUGGGGAAUGCCUCCAGAGGUUACAGAGAGUGGGACACUUACCACGAACACUCGAGAUAUACUGUUCCUGAACCACAUAGGAGUGAUGUGAGGUGGAAAGAGCUCAGUUCUUCAUCUCAUCAUGUUCAUAGUAAAGUCCCAGAGGUGGAGGACCCGGACGGAGAGCCGCUGCCAUACAGUGAAGAGGAUGUAGAGCUAGCAAGAAACAAGCAGCUCCUCAGAGAGAUGGAGGAGAGAAUUAUGCACAAGAAAGCUACACUCGCCACGAAAACGCGGUUUGUGGAGACACCACCAGGUGUUUCCGGUGACGAGCCUCCGGCUAUGUGUGUAGGUCAAACUCUAAGAGACAGAGUGAAGGAGAUUCUGAUGCAGCGACAAUACCUCAGCUAUUUCUCAAAGGUGCAGUCGGCCAGAGAGAGAAGGAGCUCCUCCUGCCCGAGCAAAGGCGGUGUGCUGCAGGAACAGCAUCCUCUGAAGCUCAGAGUGAAGGUUCUAAUGAAGAAGAGACACACUGUUGUACCACCUUACAGUGAACAGGGCCCUGACGUUGCGUGGCCUCUUUCCAGCCCAAGCGUUACAUCACCGGCUAAGAGAGAGGACGUCAUCAACAAGGGUUUCGAGUGCUUCCUCAGCGUGCUCAACAAAGGAGUCGACAUCAACUUGCUCAAACCUGAGGAUGACUGUGGCGAGGUCCCUGGUGUGUCACUGCCACCUCUCGGCCGAAGCAUUUCUUCACCAGCAAAGGAUGAAAAUAAUGUCAACAAGGGUUUUGAGCGCUUCCUCAGCAUCCUCAACAAAGGCGUGGACAUCGAAAAGUUUAACAAGAUUAUGAGCAAUGAUAGAGAGGAUCUUCCUUUAGGUGAGGAGCCCCUGAACAUUCAGAUCCCUGACAUGGAGAGCAAAUCAGAUCCACCCUUUAGGACUGAGAAGCAACAGCUGAAUAGUGGAGCUUCGCUGCUGGGCCUCAGACAGCCCAGUGAAAGUAUACUCAGCAUGGACAAUGACAUUGAGCCGAGCCCCACCCAGAGAAAGGAAAGCCAACGGUUGUUUAGUGGUGCCUCACUGCAAGGUCUCAGCCCACCCAGUGAAAACCAGUGCUCAAACAGUAGAGCCAUUCUGUUACUCAGCCAGGCCAGUGAGAGCCAGUGGUCGAAGACUGAAGCCUCGUUGAAAGGCUUCAGCCAUCCCAGCAAGAGUAUUGGCAGCGGUGCCUCACAGCCAGUACUCAGCAAAGCCAGUGACAGUGAGCGGGCAGGCAGUGGAGCCCUGCUGACAGACUUCAACCACGCCAGUGAAAGCCAACAGUUAAAUACCGGAGCCUCACUGUCAGGCUUCAGCCUACCUAGCGAGAACCAGCACUCAAAAACUAGACCCAUUCUUCUAAGCCACGGAUGGGAAAGUGAGAGCCAUCGAUCGAAGAGUGGAUCCUCACUGAAGGAUCUCAGUCAGAAAAAUGAGAGUCUACUCAGUACAGCCAAUGAAGGUGAACCGGGCCUCAACCAGUCAAAGGAAAGCCAACGAUUAAAUACUGGAGCCUCGCUGAGGGGCCUCAGCCAGUCCAGUGAAGGUACUGGCAGUGGUGCUCCACAGCCUGGACUCAACAAAGCCAAAGACAGUGUGCGGUCAGACAGUGGAGUCCGGCUGACGGGCCUCAGCCAAGCCAAUGAAAGCCAACAGUUAAAUACUGGAGCCACAUCACCCAGUGAGAACCAACUCUCAAACACUAAGCCCAUUAGGCUGAACCUCAACUGGGCAAGCAAGAGCCAGUCGUUGAAAAGUGGACCCUUGCUGAAGGGUCUCAACCAGGACAGUAAGAGCCAGCAUUUAAAGAGUGGUGCCCUAAUUCCCGGGCUCGGUGAUGACAGUGACAGCGAGUCAAAUGGUAGAAACCUGCUGGCAGGCCUCAACAAGACCAACAGUAGAGAGAAAAAGACUGACUCAUCUACUCGAGAGAGGCUCUUCUUACCUGGUGAGGAGGAGGAGAAGAAGAAGAAGAGCAAAAGAGACCACAGUUUGGGCUCUAGUAAUCGAUUAAAGUCUCCGGUGGCACUGAAGAAGAAGGAGGAGGAAGAAACCUCAUCGGUGAGUGAGCAGCAUGAACAGCUGCAGAGCAUUCUUAAAACUCUGGGAUGGAACCUGGACGUGGACGAGCUGAGCAAACUGGCAAACCGCACUCAGGAGAGGCUGUGCGGGAGAAAAAACGAACGUGUGAACAGCAAAGAGGAGCACGAGAGCCGCCAGAAGCACUCUCGUGACCGAGAUCGCAGGAAGUCCUCAUCAGGCUCUCCUCUGCGGAGCAGCAAAACAGACCAGAGUCAGGAGAGAAUGCAUGGGAGCAAGAGCGAAGGGAGGGUGAGGAAGAGUGAAGGGAGGAGGAGGACUGAGAGCAGAGGGGAGGACGAGACACAGCAGAGGCGCUCUCUUAGAGAUCACAGAAAUUCCUCGUCCUCAUCUUCCUCCAGGUCAACCUCUAGAAGCUCUAGCCCGAGCCCCUCAUGCCGUCGACGCUCUCGCAGCAGAGAUUUGAAACGGAGGCGGAAGGCCGAACGAAGCCGCUCGCGAGAAAGAAGCAGAGAGAGACUGAAACACAGAGAUCGAUGGAACAGCAGAGAAACACUGAGGGACAGAGAGCGAAAAGACUCAAAACAUUUUUCUGCUUAUCCAUAUUCACAAAAUCCCGUGUUUCCUCAUCCUGCUGCUUCUCCAUAUCCAGACUACAUUUUGUCUCAGUACUCGCAUUUUGCUCUUAGCCAGAGUGGCCACUACAGCGGUGCUACAAAUCCUUACUGGUCAUACAAUCAGUACAACACUCCUCCCUCUCUUUCUGCCAGCAGCCAACCUUACCCGCACUUUCCUGGCUCUGUAGUGGCACCUAACAUGGCUUUCCCUGAUCCCAGCCUUCUUACAAACAGUGCCUCGUUUCCAAACCCGGACCUGUCUGUGAGCGAAGGCCAAGAUGGGUCAGCCUCUGUUUCUCGCUGCCUGAGAGUCAUCAAUACCGAGCAGGCAUCCUCUCAGAGCCUCACAGGUGGACACAACUGGAGACGGGGUCGCAAAAAACUUAUGGGAGAUUUCAGGAAUCCCAAAAGUAUUUUAGAGAAACACAAUAAUGCAUUGAAGACACCACUGGCACCACAGGACUCAAAGGUAUGCACCAAGACUGUGGGUAAUGACCCCUGCACUGAGGAGUUAAAAGAGGAGAAGCCACAGCUAACAGAGGAGGAAAUAAAGGCGAACCUGAGGAAAAAGGUUGGUGUUCAGUCGGUUUGGCCAGCUCUUGAGGCCAUGCCAUGCUAAGAGGUUAGGUUGUGCCAUUAUUUGCCUUGCUUGUUGUUGUUGAUAAUGAAAUGUAGUGACUCAGAGGACACUGAGCACAAUUACUUCAGUAUAUUUAAUGAAGCCAUGCAUGCUGUUACCUUCAUCCAGUGAACAUUUUCAGUUAGAAGGGGUUCAAAUUUGUUUUCUUUUUUUAAAAUAUAUUUUUGACCCUCAUAACUUCUUAAGUGCAGGAGAUAUCAGCAUGAAAUUCUUAAUCCCAGUGUGAGCAUCAGUAUCUUGGAUGUGUCAGAUUCUCACUGAUGUGAUAUCUGUGGCAUAGAGGAACAGAGUAUUGGUACCAUGGAUGCUUUGUCUGCUUUAUCAGCCCUAAAAAUUUCAUGUGUUUUAUCUCCUGUACUUAUGAAUGUAUUUUACAUAAUAAAAUGCUCCAUAUAUACUUUAAGAUUCUUCUAAAUCAGAAACGUUUAGUAGUACGAUGGUAAAAUUUAGCCCAACUUUAUUAAAUUUUGUUAUGCAAAAAAUGAAAAAAGAUCUAAUUCUGGGGAUGGAUUAUUACUUUAUUUUUUUCUUUACUAAAACUAAAACUGUAGGAAGCUCAAAGUAUUUCUUUGAUGUGUGUUUUUGGUCUGAGGAUCAACUUCAGCAGAAUUCCCAGUACUCAGUCUGAGACACUUAAGAUGUGUCAAUAUGUAUUUUAAGCAUAAGCAGACGCUGUCACACGUCACUAAAAUCAUUUCCAUUUUUAGAAUUUUAAACAUUUGAAGACAUGACUGAUGCCCUGCAUCUGUAACAGUUGUCAAUCAUGUCAUUUAAAACCUUAGAUAUACUUUUCUGAGUAUCAUUACUUCAUCUGAAUCUCAGUUUCAUAAUCCUGAUCUCAGUCUGUCGUUAUGUUUUACAUUAUCGCUGCUAUAAUCUGGAAUUGUUUCCCUGCUUUAUGCUCCGAGUUUCCUGUUGUGACAGCCGUCAUCAUCGUGUCAUCAUAAAUCGUUUUUCUCUUUGGUUAUUUUUCUAGCUUGAAGCUUUUAACCAGAAGGUAAAGAACACGAGCCAGAUGCCUCAGUCCAAAGUCAUGCAGCCGGCAAACUCCCUGAUCUCUGAGAUAGACUGAACGAAGUAAGUAUAUUCAAAGGAAAAUUAAAGGAUAAUUCCACUUCAGCCUGGCACGUUUCCUAUGAUUCAUAGUUAAAAGGUUAUUCUGGUUCUGCAGGUUACAGUUCUCCAUCUUUGUUUUUGAGCACUGGCUGAACAAUCACGCACAGCUCGUGCAGCGUGACUGUAAUAUUAAAGCCUGAACCAUGAAAUCAUUUCAGAAAUGUAAAUUUGUUGAAAUUGGAAUGUUUGUUGAACCUUCUGUCUGUAAAAAAAAUCAACUUUUGUUACAGCCGGCAUAUUUUUGCAGGUUAUUGCUCUCAGUAGCGUUGCAUGUCCCAGUGCGGCUCCAGUUCUUCCUUUGGAGAGAACCAGCUCACUUUUCCAAAGGUUUACGUGCUGAUGGUUACGUGCAGUUCUUUGCAGAACUGGGGUUCAAUUUUUUUUUUAAUGAAAUCUGUUGGCAGCAAGUGCUGAUUUCAUGCAGCAGAGCCACUAUCAGCAGUGGUUUCAGCAUUAGCACAGCUUCAGUGAAAAAGAGCUGCAUGUCUUUAAGUCCUGAAAAAUUCUUGUUGAAUUUACAUUUUUCUUUAACUGCUUGCUGAUGUAAAUGUGUUUGAUCCUGUCUGCUAACUAUUUUUCCCCCUUUUUCCAGGCGUCUGUGUCCGGUGAAGAUUUUUAUUUUUUCAGCCUUGUUCACAUGUAAUGUUUAAUUCUUCCUCUACAUUUGUCCCUGACCUCCAACGCCUUUCUGUCAUCUGAAAUAGAUUUUUGCACAGUUCAUUAUUGGUCUGCUUUCAUGUUUUAGCUCUGUGCUUCUGUGAAUGUCACCAGUUUUGUUUAAUGUUGAUUACAAGAACUAUUUUUUGUAGGCCGUACUGGUUAGUUUGUUAAUGAGAAAUGUAUAUUUUCAUCGUUAAAAAUGUUUCAGCCUGUACAGUUUCCAGUUUUACAUUCACUCUGUCACACUAAUAAAG
ensembl:lncRNA